UUGAAUAUUCAAGCCUUUAAAUAACAUUCUCCUUCUUAAAAAAAAAAUAAAAAAAAAUAAUAGAAGUUUUUGCUAUAUUUAUGGAAACAAAUCCAAGAACCGCUACAGAUCAUUAAACCAAAUCCUUUAACUUUCCCUCUAUAUAUUCAUAUUAGGGCUAAGAAUAUAUACUGUACUGUAUAUUUUUCUUUCCGCUCAUAUCUGUAUAUUAGGGCGAAGAAUAUACACUGUCUAUUUUUCUUUCCCUUCCUAUCAGUAUAUUUUUAGUAUUCUUUCGGAAACAAAUCAAGGCUCUCAUAUGGAAGGAAAUACGUGGAGGAAAAGAAAAAGGAAUUUAACAUAAAUAGAUCUGUUCUUUCUUAACGAGACCUAAUGACGAAUUUUAUUCUAAUCGUAACCUUUCUUACACUUAUACAGAAAAUUACCAGCCGUUUCAAAGAAAAAAAAAAAAAAAAAACACCUAGCUUUAUUUUUUCUACCUCUCUUCUUAUGGAACCCUAAUUUUUCUUUUGUUUCAAUCGUCUUUAUAUGAUUUCAUCAUAGUUACCAUGUCUAUUUUAAUGCAUUUUAUUAGUACUUUUUUUUACUGAUUUAGAAGCUUUUAUUUGUUUUCUGCAGAAAGACUAAACUGUGGCGAUUUGAUAAAGACGGAAAUCAGUUGAAAGAUAGAGGAGUUGAAACUGUAAAGCUUCUUAAACAUAAAGACACUGAAUUAAACUCUGUUGAUAAUCAUCUAGCUUCCUCGGUUGUACUUCAUGCCGUUCAUCAGUAUUUUUCCUGCUAUGUAUUUUGACUCCGUCGGUUCAUUUAUGCAUUACUCACAUAUUACUACUCAUAUAUUAUAUACACAAGUGAUGUUUGGGGAGGCUGAAGGUGGGUCUUUAUUUUGGAACAAUGUAUGUUCAAAAGAAGGUGCUAAGCUACUACGUGCUGCUAGGUAUGUUUCUAUUAGUUACUCGGCGAUUACACGGGUAUCUGAUGCAUUUUCGAAGGAAAUAGUACAACAUCUUGACUUAGCCUAAGAUAAGUGUGGUUGGUGCAUGCAAGGGUAUAGGUUUAACGGCUUGAUAGAAUCGCUCAAUUUGGAUGUGGCCCGUGCAUUUGACGGGUUCAAAUUGCUCCUCUGCUUUACCCAGUGAUGCAGAGUUAGUCUCUAUGGAUGUGGGUAUAAAAUUCUUCAAAAUCUGUAAAAAUCGUUAUGUUUUGAAAAUCUAUGGAUUUUUGAAGCCUCUUUCUCUGAUACCGAAAGACUCAUUGCAGUUCCAAUGGAGCCAAAAUUUGAGUUGCCCUCUGAUGAGUGAUGAGGUGACCACAGUAGUGUCAAUCGACCUAGCAACUGUGAUAGUUCAGAGGAUUAUGACCGAGCAUAUUACUCACUGCAGUUCCAAUGGAGCCAAAAUUUGAGUUGCCCUCUGAUGAGUGAUGAGGUCUAUCUUCAUGCCUAAUAUUAUGGAAAAUGAUAAUUCUGGCAUGUCAUAUACGAGCAAGAGUUGAUUGGUAUAUAUGGUCAUAUACGAGCAAGAGUUGAUUGGUAUGUAGGAAUGCUCAUCUCUUGAGGCAACACUGGAAAUUUGAGGAGGCAUAAACUGGUAAAAUUAUUUAGAUAUAUCGUUCCCCGCCACUCUCAACCCAAAAAGUCCACCAGGACUGGUGCGUAGCACGGGUUACGUGCUAGAUCACGGAACAAACGAUACGAAAGGGAAUAAUGACAACAAUCAAAACCAGCAAAAUCUCAUAUUCACAAUAAUAGAAGAAGGGAUAUGCUCGCGUCCGGUUAUAGCAAGAAUCAAGAGAAGAUGGAAUGGAAUUAACAAUAAGACGGGAUAUGUUUAUAACUUGGAGAUGAUACUCAGAGAUUCAGAGGUUCCAAGCAAUCCAUUGCCACCAAACCGGAACAACAAAGAACUCGAGUGUUGUGGAUGUAUCUCAUUAUAAUCCUGGCUUAUGGUUUGCACAAGUGAGAACCUGGCUUAUGCAAAAAUAGGGGUAGAUCUCUAUAUUGUCAUUUGAGGUGUAGGUGUGUUCAAGGGUAUGGACUGGUGGCGUGGUGUACUACUGGUGGCGGGUCGUCAAUGAGCUGAUGUUAGACAAGUUGUGGCAUGGACUGACUGCUAUGUGGUGGAUGCCAGCAGGUGAUUAUGUCAAGGUGGUCAUCAACUGGUGACAGUGGAGUUCUGCUGAUUGUAGCGAAUGGGUGAUGAGUUUUCUGUUUUUUUUUUUCCUGAAGUUGGUAUAGGGCUGGUGAGGAAGUGUAGGAGAGAAUCGAAAAGGUCUACUCGUGUGAAUGUUUCGCGGAGGAGCUUCUGGUGUUGUUAGUGCCAAAAUUAAGUUUCUGUAUGUUUAUUUUUUAUUUUCUUUAAGCAAAUACAGUAUUUGAAUUUUUGAAUUUCACGGUUGAACUACAUGAAUUUUAGAAGUUUUUGUAUUUAAUCUAAAUGGGGAUGCAAUGCAAUGGGUUUUCUGAAA